UACGUAGGCAGCGAGCGUUGUUCGGAGUUACUGGGCGUAAAGGGUGUGUAGGCGGUUGUUUAAGUUUGGUGUGAAAUCUCCCGGCUCAACUGGGAGGGUGCGCCGAAUACUGAAUGACUUGGAGUGCGGGAGAGGAAAGUGGAAUUCCUGGUGUAGCGGUGAAAUGCGUAGAUAUCAGGAGGAACACCGGUGGUGUAGGCGGCUUUCUGGACCGUAACUGACGCUGAGACACGAAGCGUGGGUAGCAAACAGG
rnacentral:rRNA from 1 species